rnacentral:lncRNA from 1 species
CAUUUAUUCAUGCUACCAAAGAAACCUUCUUAAAUGAAUUAUAUUGUUUUUUUCAUGGAAACAUUAAUUAUGCUUUACAGUUAAAUAAUACUAACAUAGCUUAAACAUAAACAAAUUCUUUACUUAAGAAUUGAAUGAAAUAAUCCUCUGGAAAACAUUGAAAUGUUAGUUAUUUCAGCAUAAUUGCUUGAUUAUGUGAAAAAGAAUCAAAUGCAAAUUUGUUCCUUGUAAAAUGAAUAGAAAUUCAAAGUUUCCCAAAUCAUCUUUAUUUAAAUUAAAAGAAAGUUACUGUCUUUGUAAUAAAAUAAUAAUGUUGUAUUAAAAUAAAAACAUUCUCAAUAGUAAAUGGUUUUGCAGAUGAGUUUUGCUGAUAAACCUACGAUUUGAACAUCUGGAUUCAUUCUAGCAGCAGUAUUUAUUU